UGCGCAGGCGGUUACUUAAGUCAGGUGUGAAAGCCCUGGGCUUAACCUAGGAAUUGCGCUUGAGACUGGGUAGCUUGGAGUGCGGCAGAGGGAGGUGGAAUUCCACGUGUAGCAGUGAAAUGCGUAGAGAUGUGGAGGAACACCGAUGGCGAAGGCAGCCUCCUGGGCCAGCACUGACGCUCAUGCACGAAAGCGUGGGGAGCAAACAGGAUUAGAUACCCUGGUAGUCCACGCCCUAAACGAUGUCAACUGGUUGUUGGUGGGGUUAAACCCAUUAGUAACGAAGCUAACGCGUGAAGUUGACCGCCUGGGGAGUACGGCCGCAAGGUUAA
rnacentral:rRNA from 1 species